rnacentral:rRNA from 1 species
UACGUAGGGUGCAGGCGUUAAUCGGAAUUACUGGGCGUAAAGCGUGCGCAGGCGGUUUGCUAAGACAGGUGUGAAAUCCCCCGGGCUUAACCUGGGAACUGCGCUUGUUACUGGCAAGCUGGAGUGUGGCAGAGGGGGGGUGGAAUUCCGACGUGUAGCCAGUGAAAUGCGUAGAGAUGUGGAGGAACACCGAUGGCGAAGGCAGCCCCCCUGGGCUAACACUGACGCUCAUGCACGAAAGCGUGGGGAGCAAACAGG